GACGAACGCUGGCGGCGUGCUUAACACAUGCAAGUCGAACGAUGAACCGGGUGCUUGCACCUGGGGAUUAGUGGCGAACGGGUGAGUAACACGUGAGUAACCUGCCCUGGACUCUGGGAUAACCCCGAGAAAUCGGAGCUAAUACCGGAUAGGACCUUUCCUCGCCUGAGGUUUGGUGGAAAGUUUUUCGGUCGGGGUUGGGCCCGCGGCCUAUCAGCUUGUUGGUGAGGUAAGGGCUCACCAAGGCGUCGACGGGUAGCCGGCCUGAGAGGGUGACCGGCCACACUGGGACUGAGACACGGCCCAGACUCCUACGGGAGGCAGCAGUGGGGAAUAUUGCACAAUGGGCGCAAGCCUGAUGCAGCAACGCCGCGUGCGGGAUGACGGCCUUCGGGUUGUAAACCGCUUUUAGUAGGGAAGAAGGGCUUCGGCUUGACGGUACCUGCAGAAAAAGGACCGGCUAACUACGUGCCAGCAGCCGCCGUAAUAC
rnacentral:rRNA from 1 species